UGGGGCCGCCUGCUGUUCGGCGACAUUAGCGCUUUAGUUCCUGCAGCGUCAGUUCCAAGGGAGAGACUCCAUUGAGAAAGGGCAGGCCAGCAUCCCAUGCUAUAGACCCUUUUCCCCAUUCCUCCCCUGAAGACAAUUCCUGGGGGACCCAUUCUCUGCUCAGAAUCUCUAAGUGGAAAUGAUACUAAUGGAUGACAGAGUAUGGCCUAUACAUUUAUAAGAAAAUAUUCCUCAGUUUGAAUGAAAUUCAAAAUAAUUAAGUAGUAUGGCUGGUGAAGUCUGACCAAUAUCUGAUCAAUUAGCUGUGUGAUCUCAGAUAACCAAGUUGAGAUAAUUCCAGCCCAAAUUUGAUAUUUUCUUAACUCAUUUCAACCUGAAGGUAAAAUUUACAUAAGUGAAAUGCACAAAUCUUAAUC
rnacentral:lncRNA from 1 species